rnacentral:rRNA from 1 species
UGGGGAAUUUUGGACAAUGGGCGAAAGCCUGAUCCAGCAAUGCCGCGUGUGUGAAGAAGGCCUUCGGGUUGUAAAGCACUUUUGUCCGGAAAGAAAUCCUUGGCUCUAAUACAGUCGGGGGAUGACGGUACCGGAAGAAUAAGCACCGGCUAACUACGUGCCAGCAGCCGCGGUAAUACGUAGGGUGCAAGCGUUAAUCGGAAUUACUGGGCGUAAAGCGUGCGCAGGCGGUUUGCUAAGACCGAUGUGAAAUCCCCGGGCUCAACCUGGGAACUGCAUUGGUGACUGGCAGGCUAGAGUAUGGCAGAGGGGGGUAGAAUUCCACGUNUGAGCAGUGAAAUGCGUAGAGAUGUGGAGGAAUACCGAUGGCGAAGGCAGCCCCCUGGGCAAUACUGACGCUCAUGCACGAAAGCGU